UGGGGAAUAUUGGGCAAUGGGCGCAAGCCUGACCCAGCAACGCCGCGUGAAGGAAGAGGGCUUUCGGGUUGUAAACUUCUUUUAUGUGGGACGAAACAAAUGACGGUACCACAUGAAUAAGCCACGGCUAACUACGUGCCAGCAGCCGCGGUAAUACGUAGGAUGCAAGCGUUAUCCGGAUUUAUUGGGUUUAAAGGGUGCGUAGGCGGUUUGGUCAGUCAUCUGUCAAAUACCGGGGCUCAACCCCGGGCAGCGGAUGAAACUGCCAGACUUGAGUACAGUAGAGGUAGGCGGAAUGCGCGAUGUAGCGGUGAAAUGCAUAGAUAUCGCGCAGAACCCCGAUAGCGGAAGCAGCUUACCAUAGUGUUACUGACGCUGAAGCACGAAAGCGUGGGGAUCAAACA
rnacentral:rRNA from 1 species